rnacentral:rRNA from 1 species
UACGAAGGGGGGCUAGCGUUGCUCGGAAUCACUGGCGUAAAGCGCACGUAGGUGGGUCGUUUAAGUCAGGGGUGAAAUCCUGGAGCUCAACUCCAGAACUGCCUUUGAUACUGAAGAUCUUGAGUUCGGGAGAGGUGAGUGGAACUGCGAGUGUAGAGGUGAAAUUCGUAGAUAUUCGCAAGAACACCAGUGGCGAAGGCGGCUCACUGGCCCGAUACUGA